AUUGAACGCUGGCGGCAGGCCUAACACAUGCAAGUCGAACGGUAACAGGAAACAGCUUGCUGUUUCGCUGACGAGUGGCGGACGGGUGAGUAAUGUCUGGGAAACUUCCUGAUGGAGGGGGAUAACUACUGGAAACGGUAGCUAAUACCGCAUAACGUCGCAAGACCAAAGAGGGGGACCCUCGGGCCUCUUGCCAUCGGAUGUGCCCAGAUGGGAUUAGCUUGUUGGUGGGGUAACGGCUCACCAAGGCGACGAUCCCUAGCUGGUCUGAGAGGAUGACCAGCCACACUGGAACUGAGACACGGUCCAGACUCCGACGGGAGGCAGCAGUGGGGAAUAUUGCACAAUGGGCGCAAGCCUGAUGCAGCCAUGCCGCGUGUAUGAAGAAGGCCUUCGGGUUGUAAAGUACUUUCAGCGGGGAGGAAGGGAGUAAAGUUAAUACCUUUGCUCAUUGACGUUACCCGCAGAAGAAGCACCGGCUAACUCCGU
rnacentral:rRNA from 1 species